UUAAGAAGCAGUUCCCAGUCGGAAGCUGAAGGUGGCGGUGUUGUACAAACACCCAUGUUUAUCGACUGCUUUUAAAAACCACAAAGAAGAAACAAGAGCCGUACUUAUUAGCGUGAUAAACCCAGGCGGACUGUUCUGUGCCUUUGUCUCGAGAUCACAGACAGAAUGUUGACGUUCAGCAGACGAGCUCUGGACAGGAUUUACUCCGCGCUGUUGCUGGCUGUGGUGGUUUUAUCCUGGUCCUAUGUGAUCUACGGCAGCAGGAUCGCAGCUCAGUGGCUGCUGGAAAAGAGGACGGCCGUCCUCCGGCAACACUGAUGGACCCAUCGGACCCCACGCAGCACAGGCCGGUACAGUGUGCUGUCAGCGUGGAAGAGCCAGGCUUCAGUUUGUUAGACAGCCUUCACCUGCAGCUGGCAGAUGAGGGACCUGACCUGAAGAGACUGAACGUACUGAAACAGGCUGAACAGUGGGAUCUAACCCGGCGCUGCUGAAAGGCAAACCAUGGGAUUUCAGUCGAAUUCAGGCCAAACAGCCGAUGGACAGAUUUAAGACUGCAACAAAAAAAACUUUCUACAAAGUGUUGGCAAGAAGGCAUCGACUGGUUGAAAUGGUUUCAGUUGGAGAUCCUCCCAGUUUGAUACGGUCACCAAACCCAUUGAGGACAAUGUGACUGCUGAUUUUUUAUAUUUAUUUAAAUUGUGGAUACAAACAAUGAACAGUUUCCUUCAACAGUAGCUACACUUAAUAGUGAUUAAUGAGUCUUCGGUGGCUUCUGUUUUUGCCCACUGAUGUAGUACAGUAAUACUGGAAGCAAAUGAACACAUCAAUAAAGGACAUAAACUU